AGGCUGGCAGCAGACAUGGCUGUUGAGCUAAAAAGUAGAGGAGUGGCUUCAGUCAGUUUGUGGCCGGGAGCGGUACGAACAGAGCUGGUGUCUCAGUUUAUACUGGAGAAAGAAACACCACAGGGUGUGGAAUCAAAGUAUAAAGAUUUAUUCGCUAAUGGAGAAUCCACUGAAGUGAGUGGGCUGUGCAUUGUCAACCUGGCAAAAG